GCCGGACUAGCUCAACUGGCAGAGCAGUUCCUUUGUAAGAAACAGGUUGCGGGUUCGAUUCCUGCGUCCGGCUCCA
rnacentral:tRNA from 1 species